rnacentral:rRNA from 1 species
CCUACGGGCGGCUGCAGUAGGGAAUUUUGCGCAAUGGGGGAAACCCUGACGCAGCAACGCCGCGUGAUCGAUGAAGCCCUUCGGGGGGUAAAGAUCUGUCAGUGGGGACGAAACCUGACGGUACGCACAGAGGAAGCACCGGCUAACUCGGUGCCAGCAGCCGAGGUAAUACGGGGGGUGCAGGCGUUGUCCGGAAUCAUUGGGCGGAACGGGUUCGUAGGUGGCACGUUAAGUCUCGUGUUAAAGGCGGAAGCUCAACUUCCGAAGGGCCCUGGAUACUGGCGAGCUUGAAUGCGGUAGAGGUAAAGGGAAUGCGUGGUGUAGCGGUGAAAUGCGUAGAUAUCA